CGUUCCCCUCCUAAGAACCAUCCGGCCCCUUGAGGAAGACUGACUUCUGGGGAGGGCAGAGGGGCCCGUGCCCAGGCAUAAUGACCCCAGGUCACCCUCGCUGCCGCCCCAGGGUACCAGUUGGAUUGAACCAAGGCCCACCUAGUGAUUUCGUGUUGCCUCAAUUACUUCUUUCAAGGCCCUAUCUCCAAAUACAGUCAUAUUGUGAGGUAGUGCGGUGGCAAGCAUACCUCCGAGGACGACCAGUGGAUUUCAGUGAGAUGAGAUGUUGCACGUGGGCACCUGGCGCAUCAUAGUGGGUGUGAUAAACACUUACCCACCAGCCGCUGGGGCAGACAAAGGAGGAGAAUUGCUUAUGUCAUGGGGUGACUUUGAGGGCAGUUGGGAAAGGCAUGUUACAUAAAUCCCAGGGUGAGCAAAGAUCUACGAAGGCGCUCUCCUCAGGAGGUCACCAAGGCCACCUUGGGCUGAGGGGAACCCUGGGCUCACAGCCUGCCACAGAGUUUUCCUGGGACCUUGUGUGUCCACAAGUGUAGGAAAUCAUGUUCCCUGCCUCGUGCCCAGUGGUUCUCCCAAAUUGAGUAACUGACCCCCCUCUUCUAGGGGCCCCCCCUCACAUCUUCAGAGAAGUACAACCUAGACAGAGCAGAGAGCAAGAGAAAGGGAGAGAGAAGGGAGACACUCCCUUCUGUUCAGUAAUCUCUUACCAUCUGCCUCCCACGAGCUGAAUGCACAGAUCCUCAGACCAGCACCCUGGCACAGGGAGCCCCCAGCCCCUGGGGAAGGCAGGUGGCAUGCCUGUAACCACACUGACUGGAAAGGCAAAGGCGCUGCCCUGCUGUCCACUUUCUGGUGGCCUGACCUCCACUGCCCUCUUUGUACCCAGGGUCUUGUCUGUGAGAUGAAGCGACUGGCAAGAUGACCAUAGAGAGCUCACGACCUUACAGAGCCAGACAGAGGCCCUUAGUAGAGCCCCCUUGGGGAUCUAAACAAUGAAAUGACAUUCUAAAUGAAAAAAACAAUCAAGGGUAUAUGUGAGGCUUGGUAAAUGUGGAAUGUAAAUGUCUUAGCAAAGUAACUAAGAAAAUGCCAGGAGGGCUAUGUCAACUAAUGUGAUGAAAAUGUGUCAAAUGGUCUAUGAACCAAGUGUAUGGUGCCCCAUGAUCAUAUUGAUGUACACAGCUAUGAUUUAAUAAAAAUAAAAGAAAAGAAAA